rnacentral:rRNA from 1 species
UACGUAGGGUGCAAGCGUUAAUCGGAAUUACUGGGCGUAAAGCGUGCGCAGGCGGUGAUGUAAGACAGAUGUGAAAUCCCCGGGCUCAACCUGGGAACUGCAUUGGAAACUAACGGGCUUGAGUGUGGCAGAGGGGGGUGGAAUUCCACGUGUAGCAGUGAAAUGCGUAGAGAUCGGAAAGAACACCAACGGCGAAAGCACUCUGCUGGGCCGACACUGACACUGAGAGACGAAAGCUAGGGGAGCGAAUGGG